rnacentral:rRNA from 1 species
UGGGGAAUCUUCCGCAAUGGGCGCAAGCCUGACGGAGCAACGCCGCGUGAGUGAAGAAGGUCUUCGGAUCGUAAAGCUCUGUUGAUGGGGACGAACGUGCCUAAUGCGAAUAGUAUUAGGUAAUGACGGUACCCAUCGAGGAAGCCACGGCUAACUACGUGCCAGCAGCCGCGGUAAUACGUAGGUGGCGAGCGUUGUCCGGAAUCAUUGGGCGUAAAGGGAGCGCAGGCGGGCAUGUAAGUCUUUCUUAAAAGUGCGGGGCUCAACCCCGUGAUGGGAAAGAAACUAUGUGUCUUGAGUACAGGAGAGGAAAGCGGAAUUCCCAGUGUAGCGGUGAAAUGCGUAGAUAUUGGGCGGAACACCAGAGGCGAAGGCGGCUUUCUGGACUGCAACUGACGCUGAGGCUCGAAAGCCAGGGGAGCCAACGGG